GGGGUUGUGGCUCAAGGGGAGAGUGCUUGCCUAGCACAUGCAAGGCCCUGGGUUCAAUCCUCAGCACCACA
rnacentral:tRNA from 1 species